GCCGAGUCAAAUCCGAGCCCGAGUCAAAAUGCCGAGUCACUGGUCAGCGGUGUAUUUUUCUUUAGAAAAAUGCCCAGAAUGCAUUGUAAUCCGUUUUUCUCUCCCUUCCCCGAAAGCAUGGCUUCGGCGAAUGGGCUGGAAGUUGAGCAAAAUGUUAUAUUAAUCUGCUUCCAUCUCAAUGUUUUCUGUAAUAUAUGUGCAUAUUAGAUUUUUCUUUAACAGUCAAACAAUAUCAUUGGACCGUUUUCUGCAUCUAUUUUUCUCAACUUUCCGUUUAUAGACGACCUCACCUUUGGAAUUGGACAACUGACUCGAGAUAAGAAGAUUUUCAUCGACUUGACAAUCGACAGAUGCCCUCCCCUUGUCAUAAUAUAAAUCAGCCGAGGGAAACGACGACAGCAAAAAAUAACAAUUCUAAGGACAGUACCUACUUCUAGUAAACAGAAUGGUGAUGUUGGCUCGAGGCAAAGUUCUUCUCGUUAUGAUUUUCGUACAGCAAUCAUUGCAAACCCGUCUUCCAUGGUUUGCUGGACCUAAAGACGAUUUAGGUUGUUUCCACGGUGAACAGUUCCUCCAAGUUGGCCAUCGUUUUACCGAUGACUCUUGUAAGGUCACGUGCUUAUGUCAAGCCCCUGACACACUCAUAUGUACACCCCUUUGUCAAGUGGAGAGAGUCAGGUGCUCGCCGAACAUGUACCGAUUGACAACGAUGCAGCGAGUCCCGAACAGCAGGUGCUCGUGCCCGAAGACAGUUUGUGUCGACCCAGCCGUGACAUCACGCUGACGGAUGCUCACACUGCAAUUAUGAGGGACAUCUUCUCUGGCCUUUAUCGAAUUUAACUUUAUUUCAAAUAAACAAGAUUCGAUUCAG